rnacentral:SRP_RNA from 1 species
GCUGGGCAUAAUGGUGUGUGCCUGUAGUCCUAGCUACUCAGGAAGCUGAGACAGGAGGAUCACUUGAGUCCAGGAGUUCGAGGCUGCAGUGAGCCGUGAUUGCACUACUGCAUUCCAGCCUGGGCAACAGAGUGAGACUUUGUCUUUG